rnacentral:lncRNA from 1 species
GUCGUUUCGGGAGGUGCCUGGGCAGCUCAUGUUUGGACUGGACUUGUGUGAUGGUUUGGGCCUAUUUUUGUUUUAUUUCUUGGGCCCAAACCGAUUUUCAUCACUUCUUUUCUUUUGUUUUCCCUAAUUUUAAAAAAAAUGAAAUAAAAAUGAAAAAAUGAAAUUAAAAUAAACACAAUGUAACACUUCCACCAAAUUAAAAUGUUUAAGUAAGUUAAAUCACAACCUAGAACGAACGAUGCAUAUAUAUAUAUUUUUUUUUGAAUUUUCUUUCAACGACCGAAUUACGGUUUGAUUACCAUGACAGACAUAAGUUCUAUUUUGAUUGAUAAGAUCAAAUGCAACAUGGACCGAACCACAAAUGACUAACAGCACAUGCCACGAAAAAUCGAAAAAAAUUGUACAGCGGGUCAUUUGUCACUAUUUUUGUUUUCUUUUGGAGCGAUUGUCCGUGAAGCAAAAAUCACGUGCUUACAGUGUUUAUUAGUUAUAUGCUAAUACACUUAGCGUUACAAUUUUAUAAUCAGUUCCACAAAUAAGCCAUGAACAUUCAUGUUACCUUCUCAGGAAAAAGAAAAACUAUGAAGAUUUUCCAUGACUUCAUGUUUCAAGUUAGUUCUUGUCAAAGUUUAUUGAAAGAUGGUAACAUUGUAGCCUUCCAGUUAAAUAUAUGCUAAAAUUGUGGAGUGCCCAAAAGAUUAAAGAUGACCAAGUCUCUCUCUCUGUAUGUGUGUAUUUACCUAAUUUCUCCAUAUGAGCUCUUUCCUACAUGCUAACAAUUAAACAUCACAGUUUCUAUCGCCGGAUAGAUUGUCAAAUCUAAUAGUGAAUAUAGCUUAGCUCAGAAUUCACAUUUUUUUUAAUCAAAAAAGACAAUAAGCUCAUAUUCACAUUUCUUGAUAACAAUAAAAAAAUACAAUGAGCACAUAAUGACCUCCAAACUAUUAAAAUCUCAGCUUUCUCACUAAUCUUUUUAUAAACUAAACAAAACUUCGCUUGUUAGAGAAAUCUCAGAGGAAGCAUAUCAAUACUCUUUCCUCUUAUACAUAAGAAAGACUUAUUUUUUAGAUUAUCCAUAAAAAAGUUUACAUAUUAGUACAUAAAAAAUAUCAUUGAACAUUGCUGGUUUAAACCCCUAUGCGUGGUCCCAAAUACCACCAAAAUUUCAACUGAUAUUAAAUUUUGAACCCAUAAUCUCAACUCAAUGGACAACCAAUUGUCACCCUCUGUAUUUGUUAGUUUUCCUUAUUGGGAAAAUCCAUAUUGAAUAGGAAGGUGCAGAGAACUUCAAUUAAUGGAUGAUCUCCAGAAUAGCAGCAAAGUGGCUACCAAAGCAAUAAAGAGCCUAAACGUUAGAUAGUCGAAGGAAAUCCCAAUUUCUUUUCUAGGUAUUUUUGAAUUUCACAAAACUAACAUAAAAUUACAAUUUAAUUUCAAGCAACAAAUCAGCAAGAACCCAAAAAUAAAACAAUCACAGUCACAUGUAAUGAAAAAAGAUAGAACAAUAAACUAACCUUUCAGCCAUAUGAUUAUGUCAAUUGAACAACUACUGAACUACAAAACCCCAAACAAAACCCUAAUUUUCUGUUACAACGAAGAAGCAGAAGCCAAAGGAAUUCUGAGCGAAGAUCAGCGGUGACUGUGAACCAUGUGAUUAUGUCAAUUUAGCAACUAAUGAACCACAAAAAUCCAAGCCAAACACCAAUUCUUUCUUACAACGAAGAAGAAGGUUGUGGAAUUCUCACCGAAGAGAGGAAAAAGCAUAGCAAAUUUAAUUCUGUACUUUGAAAUUAGAUACAAAUUAGAUAGAGAAAAACAAAGAAGAUGGUUAGAUAGAGAUAGAGAGUGACUUAUCUGUCAUACUGAAGUACCGCAGAUAAAUCAGUAAUGCGCCAGCUGUCAUAUUGAUCACACGCGUUAGCUUUCAGUCAAAUUUAGGAGCAAUAUGAAAUGACCACAAUACCCUUUAGCAGCAAGCAGACAUGACGACCUUCAGCUGCUU